UGCCCAUCAGGACUGCUGGCCCCUCUUAUGCUUCUGUUGGAGAACAGUUUUUCUUCCAUAGACAGCUUCAGGAAAGGUUGGACUCGUACAGCCAGUAAAAUUAGCUUGCAUUUUUAACAGCAGCAUCAGCGUAGAGUUGAAUAGAUUGCCAUACAUGGAGUGAACAAGGAGCAGCACCUUGAAGGAACAUCCAGACACAGCCCUCCUGCUUCCUGACCUCAGCACAGGGAUGCUGAUCUCUGCAAUGCCCUGUCCUUGUCCCCAGGCUCCUCCAGCCCGUUCUUCCAGCCCAGUCCCUCUCACUGGCAGCUCAGCAGUGCUUUCAGCACAUCAGUGACAAUCACAGCCAACCUCAUGGUCACUGAGAACUUCAGUUUGCUGCUUGGCCUCUUUGCCUGGAAACAACAGGAUGUUUGUUUGAGAAUGGAGCAAACAAGAUGUGACACUGUGGAGGCUUUUCAGCUUAAAGGGACCACUUCCAUCCCAGAACGCCGGUCUCAUCCCAGCUCUGCAGGCAGCCACGGCACGUGGGCCUUUUUGGAAAUGCACCUGAAGACCGCUUUGGGAUCCUUCCAUCCCACACUUCCUGGCAGGCUGCUCCAGAGCCUUCCUCCUGAGGUUGUGAGUGCUGACUUCUAAACGCUGGGAUGUUCCCACCCGUCUCCACAGCAGUACCCCUCACACUCAGAAAGGUGGUGCUCUUGCAUAUUUUUACUCUUUUUUCUUCCUUACUUUGUAAGGCUAGAACAGUAAAGCUCCUCAAGCCUAAUGAAGCAGCAGGUUUUUACUCUUUGCAGUACUCUUAAGAAGUGAUAAAUAUUGCCUGGAUUUAAACGUUACUGCCAGUCACGUUUGUUGUUGCAGUGAUCUCAAGCUCGUGUUGUCUCUGACAGCUGAAGGACAGCAGAGCUCCAGGAACUGAAGCCUUUCAGUCAAGUGAACUCUAAAGUAAGAAAACAAUCGUAUUGGUUUGUCUCAAUCAUCUGUGGCCAUUCCGAGAACGUGCAAAUGGCUCAUUAGCAGUUGUAGUGCUUUCACCAGUUAUUAAAUUCUGCUGGGCCAGUAAGCAAAGUCAAACUGUGUUGCAGUUGCAGAUGAAGUUGGUGCAAAGCAGCAGGGAUGAGGGCUGCAGUGGUGCGUCAGCUGUGGGUCACCACUGCGAGCUGCCUGCACAACAAAGCCUGUAAUUUAAUGCCCUUGGCAGUUAUUUGUGCAUCUGUAUCUCAUGAUUCAGGCUGACAAAAACAUUCCCAAUUCAGAACAUAAGAAAAAGUAUAAAAAUGGGAGUGAUACCACAUGUCUGUGCUGGUUCCCAGUCACUCUGAAUGGGUUAGAUGGUGCUUAUCUCAAUUUCAGAACAGUAAGCUUGGCCUGCAGGAUGGAUUUCAUGCUCUAAGUAUGCAGACAAAACUCUUCCUGGUUGGAGGAUAAUUCUGAUGAGUUCUCGAGUCACCAAUCCAAGAAUGGAGGUGUGGAAGGAGCCCAAGGGGAGCAGCUGCUUCCAUCAGUGAGGGAGCAGGUACUGAUCUCAUGAGCAGACACAGAAUCACACAGAAUCAUAGAGUCAUAGAGUGGCUUGGGUUGGAAGGGACCUCAAGGAUCAUGGAGCUCCAACCCCCCACCACACACAGGGCCACCAACCUCCCCAUUCCAUACCAGCCCAGGCUGCCCAGGGCCCCAUCCAACCUGGCCUUCAACACCUCCACGGAUGGACGGGGCAUCCACAGCCUCUCUGGGCAGCUGUUCCAGCACCUCACCGCUCUCAUAUCAAAGAACUUCUCCCUCACAU
ensembl:lncRNA